AUGAAGAGCAGGUUCAGGGCCAUCUUCCUGCAAGCGCUGGAGGUGCACCACACCUUUGUACCUCAUGUAAUAACAGCAUGUGCCGUCCUCCACAACAUUUGCCUCAGUGCUGGCGACAUUGUGGCUCCUGAGGAUGAACCUGAGGAAGAUGGAGCAGAGGAUGAUGAGGGGGAGGCUGGAUUGGAGGCAGUCAGUGGUGCUCUGUGGCGGGACCAGCUGUCUGCCGAGGUGUCUGCCCUGGAGGAGGUACCACCAGACCAUGACUACUGUUAACAGUGGUGUGGCAGCCGUCGAUUGCCCUGCAAACCAGUGGAUGGACGAUGCAGUGGACAGAGGGAGGAAGCAUCCUAAAACUCUCUUUGCAGACCACCCUGUGCGAUUCUCCACUUUCUGACUAGAAAAGACAAACCAUGGGUCACAGUCGCAGCACCCCAUCCAUGUCUGAUCUUCCUUCAGCAAAUCCAGCAACACUGCCAGAGAUUUUCUGUUUGUGUAAUCUUUCAAAGUACGGUAUAUUUAAAAAAAAACGGUCCAGGAACAGGUCACUUUGGUUAAUCCUGUGUGAAAAUUUAUAAAUAUUUGUAUAUAUUUUUCCUUCUCUGACUAAAAUUCAUGUUUUAGAAAUAUUCUUGUUUUAUUGUUAUUUACCUUUAAACGUCAAUUUAAAACUCUUCAAAGUUUGAUUAUGUUCAUACAUGUUAAAAAC
rnacentral:lncRNA from 1 species